rnacentral:rRNA from 1 species
AAUACAUCGGAACGUGCCUAGUAGUGGGGGAUAACUACUCGAAAGAGUGGCUAAUACCGCAUGAGAUCUACGGAUGAAAGCAGGGGAUCGCAAGACCUUGUGCUACUAGAGCGGCCGAUGGCAGAUUAGGUAGUUGGUGGGAUAAAAGCUUACCAAGCCGACGAUCUGUAGCUGGUCUGAGAGGACGAUCAGCCACACUGGGACUGAGACACGGCCCAGACUCCUACGGGAGGCAGCAGUGGGGAAUAUUGGACAAUGGGGGGAACCCUGAUCCAGCCAUGCCGCGUGUGUGAAGAAGGCCUUUUGGUUGUAAAGCACUUUAAGCGAGGAGGAGGCUACCUAGAUUAAUACUUUAGGAUAGUGGACGUUACUCGCAGAAUAAGCACCGGCUAACUCUGUGCCAGCAGCCGCGGUAAUACAGAGGGUGCGAGCGUUAAUCGGAUUUACUGGGCGUAAAGCGUGCGCAGGCGGUUUUGUAAGACAGAGGUGAAAUCCCCGGGCUCAACCUGGGAACUGCCUUUGUGACUGCAAGGCUAGAGUACGGCAGAGGGGGAUGGAAUUCCGCGUGUAGCAGUGAAAUGCGUAGAUAUGCGGAGG